CCUACGGGAGGCAGCAGUGGGGAAUAUUGGACAAUGGGGGGAACCCUGAUCCAGCCAUGCCGCGUGUGUGAAGAAGGCCUUAUGGUUGUAAAGCACUUUAAGCGAGGAGGAGGCUCUCUUGGUUAAUACCCAAGAUGAGUGGACGUUACUCGCAGAAUAAGCACCGGCUAACUCUGUGCCAGCAGCCGCGGUAAUACAGAGGGUGCGAGCGUUAAUCGGAUUUACUGGGCGUAAAGCGUGCGUAGGCGGCUUUUUAAGUCGGAUGUGAAAUCCCCGAGCUUAACUUGGGAAUUGCAUUCGAUACUGGGAAGCUAGAGUAUGGGAGAGGAUGGUAGAAUUCCAGGUGUAGCGGUGAAAUGCGUAGAGAUCUGGAGGAAUACCGAUGGCGAAGGCAGCCAUCUGGCCUAAUACUGACGCUGAGGUACGAAAGCAUGGGGAGCAAACAGGAUUAGAUACCCGCGUAGUC
rnacentral:rRNA from 1 species